rnacentral:lncRNA from 1 species
AUAUUCUGAUUAGUAUAAUUUAUUAGUUUCUGAGGCAAAAAAUUCUUAAUGUUAUUACCUUUCGUGAAGAAGUAUAAAUUUUGUUAUGUACUCUUGUGUCUGUUGCCCGUUUGAGAAAAUGUUUUGCUAGAAUCCAUGCCUUGAUUCAAGAAACUUUCCUUCCAUUAUAAGAAAUGAGUUUUUAAAUAAGACUGAGAAAUAGAUCCUAUUGUCAUGGUUUCUUCCUCCUGUAACAUGUUAUUUUGCCUUGUAUUUCUGCAGGUAUUUUUCAGAUAUUUUAUUACAAUGAGCUUUACUAAUUCCCAAAGAUUUCUCUAGCUCUAACUUUCCCAUCCUAUCCUGUGUUUUGGCAUCAGCAUCCAUAGGCCAGAAUUACGGCAGGUCAUCUAACCCAAGCUUAUCGUCUUACAGAUCAAAACACUGAUGCCCAGAAAGAUAUGAUAAUUUUCCCAGUGUCAGAAUUGUGUGUUGAACUUAACACUCCUGACUGGUCAUUUCUGUUACCAUUUUUCUUGCCUUGGUCAGCAAUUAAGGCCAACCAACCAGCUUAGAGGGCUAAUUUAAUCUGUAGUAUUGACUAUUCUUAUAGAACGUGGACAAUCUUCCUCUAUCAUGUUCAUGUAUGGUACCAUCUUUAUAACAACCAGUGACUUCAGGCUCCAGCCAUUACAGUGUCUUUAUUUGGUUUUGCAUGUCCCUCACCCCUCCCUGUGGUCAUCUGUCAGCAACACUAUUUUUUCUCAUUUAAAAUUGUUCUACCUUUGUUUCGAAGGUUUUCUUGAGCAAAUAUUGUGAGGUCUGUGGCAUUACCUAUUAUAUAUUCAUAUUAUCUUGUGUUUGUAAAGCACUUUUCAUUUUGUGGAGCACUUUGACUCAUCCCUUUAUUUGUUCACUCAUCCAGCCACUCAGUUUACUUAAAUGUUUAUUGAACACCUACUGGAACCAAGUUCCUCUACUGGACCUUGUGAUAUAUAGAGAUAAAUACAAAUAGUGAGAGUUCAGGCAUGUCAACUGAUAAUUGUAAUAUGAUGGAAUCCUCAAACACAAUUUUGCAAGUGGGUCAGAUCAAUAUAACUCCAUCCAAUUCCCAAUUCCAGUAGUCUACUAUAUGUAGAUAGGGAGCUAUCAAGUAUGUUCCCGAAGACUGUUUCAGAAAUACAGUACAUCAUUGCACAUUGGUGCUGUUUGCUCUAUUUCUAAUGAUUUGCAAAUUUCAUUCGUGAGAAGAAAAGUGACUCAUCCAAAGUUGUCCCAGACCCAGGAGGACUUCCCAGGUCACUUGAACUUCUUCAGACUAGAUGUAACAGUUCUCUUUUCUUGUACCAAUAUUUUCUGAAUUUUCAACAUCAUAGUUUUAAGGUUUUCUGGAAGCACCAGUGUAUCAAAGAAGCAUUUGCACUUUAGGUGUGUAUGGUUGUUAUGUCACAAGCUUUCUCAACUUCAGCAUUAAUUCUUUGUGGGAGGGUAAGAUGGAAAUAGUUCCGUGCAUUGUAGGGCAUAUUUGGCAGCUUCCAAGCAGAACAGCUUCUGUUGACUGUAUGCCCGUAGCACUCUGUCUCUCUGUCUCUCUCUCUCAUACACACAUACACACACACACACAUGCACGCACACACAUGGACUUAUGAUAACUAAAGAUGUCUCCAAACAUUGCCAAAUGUCCUUGGAUUGGGCUUGGUAAAAGUACCAGAUAAUCUAAUGAGCAAAACAUAUGAGGGAAAAAAAAGAAAGGUUUCUCUUUUGCUGUUUACUUAAACUUUAUGAUAAAUAGGGUUUUUUUUUCUAUUUCCAAUAAGACUUGGAAUCAUAAACUGUUUGAAUUAGAAGGGACUGUAAAAGUUACUAGUUCAAUUACAACCCACCAUCAUCCUUAUCUAUUUCCCCAUCUCUCAGCUUUACAAAUUUAUUGAGAGAUCAGAAGAUUGGUUAUCUCUGGAAACUUGGAAACUGACUUUUUCAUAGCGAGAGAUAAGUCUGUUUGGUAAUUAUGCCUUGCUGCUAUAAUAGUACCUGCUGUGAUUUUAGCUUCAGUAUGGGGACUCUGGGUCAUACAACUUCAGUAUCCCAAUCUCUGCUUUCAGGAGUUUUCUUUUGGUCAUUUCACACAUCUGUAAAUCUUAGUCCUUCAUCUUUGCCUUCAAAAUAUGUAUGGAAGUUGAAGCUUGGUACAUCUAAAUUCAAGUAUAUCUGGAUGAGCUUUUUAUUUCUGAUACUCUGAUAUUUCUAUUUCUAUAUCUGAUUUUUUAUUAUCCUUCUAGAAGAAAAAAUUGACCGUCUCAAGUAAUUGAAAAUUGGAAUUUUGAGAGUCAGAAUGUUUAAAUCUGUCAAGCCAAAGUUCCUAUUGACUUGAUGUGCCUUAAGUCCGUUUUCCUGUUGGGUCAGUGAUUUCCUAUGGGUAACCGUGAGUCAAGUCAGUUGUGCUUGUGUCUAUCUGCACCAGUUAGAAAACUUGAUGGAGUUUUAACAAAGACAAUCCCUCAGGAAUAUUCCUAGAAUAACAACAAGCCCCCAACUAGAAUAGCAGGCCUCCCUUGAUUCCUUUUCUAACAGACCACCCCAGACUUUGCAAGCAUUCUUAAUCAUUUACUAAAAGUUGCUACUAUGACGACACAAUUGAAAGCCUUGAUUACUUUGUCUAAAGCUAUAAAAUAAUUGAUGAGCACGCACAGAGUGAGCUCUCUCAAGACAAUCCUAGAAACCAGAAAGCUUCAGCCCAGGAGACCCUUGAGCACACCUCUACCACGAUCCUAUCAAACAGUUUGAUGUUACAUAAUAUUUUGAUUAAGCUGAUCUUCUAAUCUCAGUCGAAAUUGGAAUGCAUCUGCUGAUUGUGACCUGACAUAACUUUUAAACCAUCCACUGCCCAUCACUAUCACAGUGAUUAUUGCAAAGAAGUAAGAUGGUAAUUUUUUUAAGAUGGUAAUUAUUCAAGUAAAAUCACAUAAUUUCUUGAAUCACUUCUCCCUGACAAGUUUAUGAAGUACAUCAUCAUUGGCUUCUCAAUAGCACGUUUAUUAUGAAUGACCAAAUUAUGUCUAGAGAAAUAAGUGCUCAAAACAUGUAAUUAUAAGUGAAUUUCCAGGUGACUGUUGACAUUAAAAGAUUCUGUUACUUCAAAUCCAGAAUAAAAGGCUGGGGGAAAAAGUAAUGUAAAUCAUAUGCUGGUCCUCAUCUUUUUCUAAUUUCUAAAAUUUACUAACAUCUGAGAAUUACUAAAAAAAAAAAAUCUCCUAAUGGAAUAAAGCAAAACAAUUUAAGUUGGCAGAUAGUGAUAUAUCUAUCUUGAUUCUGGUUGAAAAUCUCAGUGACUUCUCUCAUUCCUACUAGUGUGUUACUUUUAAAAAGAAUCUCUCUUUUCCCUAGCAUUACAAAAACUAUAUAUUCAUGACCAAAAUACCACUUAAUGAUCAUGAAACUAUAAACCUUUUGCCUAUUACACAGAUAAAUAGCAUGAAACUAAUUUUAGAAGUCUGCUAUAUGAGGACAGGUAUAAACAUAGGAACAGGUGGGUGUGUAUAUUCAUGGAAAAAAUAAAGAUUCAUAUAGACCAUCAAGCAGAAUUUUCACCUUCUUCAGAGCAAUGUACAGAUCAAUAGUAGAUGAAGAUCAGCUCACAAUUAGGUCAUUCAGACACUCAUACACUGGGGCACAAAUCCUGCAGGUUAUCCUAGGAAGCAGGUGACAUACAGAAAGUCACAAAUGUCCUCAAUCUAACUCAACUAUCAUCCACCUAUACUUCUCCCUAUGGCACAAUACGAAAGCCAUGAAGGCCCCUGCUCUAGGAAAUUGGGUUACUUAUGGUCAAGUAAGGACCAAAAAGAGGCUUUUCCAUUGAUCUUCUCUGACCCUCAAGGCAAGUGCUUUGGUUCCCCUGUACCAGAGACCAUGAGACAGCCAACCACACACAGGCAAUAAAAGUACAAUAAAAAGAAAAUAAUUUUCUUGAGGAAAAGAGAAGAAAUGAUUCUUUCAACUGCGGACCCGUUGCUGAAUCUUUGUGAGGUUUGACCAUCUCGGGACCAGAUUCAUGUACUCUUAUCAAGACAUAUGGUCAAGUUCAAGCAACUACUUGUAAGGUGAUUUGAAUAAAAACAUGCUCAGAUUGUCAUAUUUAUAGCAGAGAAAUAAAAACCCAAAUUAAGUGUCCUCUACCAGUUUACUCUGAAAAUACCAUCAAAGUGAAGUCAGAGCUUUCCUUGCUGAGAACUGUUAAAAUCAUUUUAGGGAAAUGAAUUAAGGUUCUUUAGACACAGACAUUUUGUGUACAUUAUAGCUAAAUCUCAGGGCCCUAGCUGAGAAGGAGAAAGUCUUUUCAUGGGUUGGUCAAAACAAAUCUCUCAUUUGCCUCAUUUGAGACAUUUGGACAGUGCCUGGGAAGUACAUUAUUUUCAAGGGAAAAAAAGAGACAGCCUUUUUUGCAUGCCAGCUGGGAUCAUGGGAACUUCCAAUGCCAGGAAUUUACUACUGUUUCUGGUAAUUCUGCUUGUAGUCAUCUGAAAUGUUGAAGUGUGAAAGGAGAAGUUGGGCACCCGGGGGGGCUGUCUGUGUUUUAUGCCAGUUGCACCAGUGCACAGAAUAUUUGUAAAUGCACUUCGAAGUGGGUAUAAUUGUACCCUUUGUCAGAAUCACAAAGCUCACUGUGGUGCUCCUGAAAGAGAACAUUGGGGGAAAAUCUGACCCUCUAAAGCCAGUCAACCCCAUACAAAAGGAAAGACUGUGUGGGUGAGCACAGCACAUUGCAAGAUUGUUUCUCACUGUUUUUCCAAAGUGCUGUACUCAAAUCAAGGAUGCAUCUUUCAGGUGAAGGUUAAUUUUGCAGAGGUUUUCCAAAACUUCAUUUAGUACAGGGUUUGGAAAACUGAGCACUUUAAAUUUGCUCCAGUCCUCUGGGCAUCAUUCCUAUUUCCUCUGCCCUGUCAGUGAGACAUUCUGAGCUGCAUUCUUCCACGAUCAAAUAACAUGCGCAUUCUUCAUGAUGACCUCACGCUUGACGUACCUGAACCUGCAAAUGUAAAAAAUGAUUGUACAUGAAUUUGCACUUAAUGGUGUCUGAUAGCAGAAAAGGUAUGACCUUUAUUGAAACCUACUGCUUCAAUUCAAGAAUUCAGAUGCUAUGUACUUCUGCAAGCUUCCUGAUUAUUUUCUCUGUAAGAUUAAUUAUCUGAGUUUGAAUGUAUUUCCUUACAGUUCAUUAAUUUGCCAUCUCUUUUACCUGGGGAUCGUUAUGAUUGCAAUAAUUCAUUAAAGUUUUCCUCAUGCAGCUACUUAAGCCAAGUUUUUCUGCAAUUCUGGUUCUGCCUACAGUAUGUGGGAAAUCUUCAAAAAUUUUUUUCCUAGUAAUAAUUUUGUAAGAAAGCCGGUUUAUCGACUGUGAUGGUGGCACAGUUCAUCUUAAGAAGUCUGGAAGCUGGUGGUGACCAAAUGUUAUCUGUGUUCUCUCUGUUGAUUGCUAUUUUCUGAAUUAAAUCCUGUUUUUUCACUUGCAGUUGGAGUCAACAAAUUUGGGAUUUUAGAAGGGGAAGAAGGGAACAAUUUGUGUA